rnacentral:rRNA from 1 species
CGGGGGGAGCAAGCGUUGUUCGGAUUUACUGGGCGUAAAGGGCGCGUAGGCGGCCUCUGCAAGUCGACUGUGAAAUCUCCGGGCUUAACCCGGAACGGUCAGCCGAUACUGCAGGGCUAGAGUGCAGAAGGGGCAACUGGAAUUCUCGGUGUAGCGGUGAAAUGCGUAGAUAUCGAGAGGAACACCUGCGGCGGAGGCGGGUUGCUGGGCUGACACUGACGCUGAGGCGCGAAAGCUAGGGGAGCGAACGGGAUUAGAUACCCCGGUAGUCCUAGCCUUAAACGAUGAAUGCUUGGUGUCUGGGGUUUUAUAGUCCCCGGGUGCCGUCGCUAACGCUUUAAGCAUUCCGCCUGGGGAGUACGGUCGCAAGACUG